rnacentral:misc_RNA from 1 species
AUUCUUUCCUUUGAAUCGCUUGGCUUCGGGUUCAUUUUCAUCAUCAUCUCCUCCUGAAUUGCUAAUGGGCGAACUUUGGUCAAAUUCAUCGUCUCCAAUCGAAAUUGAAGAAUCCUCCUGUACGGUGACAGAUUCCAAUGGAGAAACCGAUUGAUCCGAGAUUUCUGAGCUGACUCCGGCAGAAGGUGGCAUCGAUUGAGAGGUUGAUCUUGUAGACUGAGGUUUGGGAUGGUUGUGACUUCCCUUAUAGACUAUUUCAGUAAUUUGUCCAUCCAAAGAUCUCUCUACCUUUUU